rnacentral:lncRNA from 1 species
AUGGGAGUGGUGCUUGUUGCCUUUCAGUUAGGACUCACAGCCUGCCUCUUUCCUUGUUUGGACAUAACAGUGAUGGACCAGAUUUUUCUGGUAGCAAGUACCUGGCCUUCAGCUUGUGCCAAAGGUGCAACGGAAGAAUGCCUUUCAGCAACAUGCAGGUCUGAGAGAUGCCAAGUGUUCAUUGCAUUCUGCUGACAACCCCUGGUGCCAUUACCAAGCAAGUGAGAAGGACAGUAGGAAAGAAGAACUGAAGACUCUUCAGAUUAAUUUCAAGUCAUAAUAAGCUAUGAAACUCUUUCUAAGCAGGCGAGCCUAUUUUACUUCUAAGACUUUGUGAAAUGGGCCUUCUGAGAAUGGAGGAAGGAGUAUGCUUCAGAAGUUUUUGAUUUUACUAAGGCUUUUGAUGCUGUUCAGAUUAGUAAACCAGGGAAAUGUGGUGUAUGUUAGCCUACUACAGGAUGCAUAAAGGAUGUGAUUUUAAUUGAAAUGAACACAAAGAACAGUCAGUCACUUGUUGUUGGAGAGUCAAUGGUUAAGUGGCAGAACAAGGACCGAAUUUGUGAAAACAUAAAAAUGCGUCAACAGUACUGCUGCUAUGCAAGUGACAAAUCCUUAUUCAUAUAAACAAAAAGUAUAGCUUCAAGAGUGUGUGAAAGUUUUUUCACUUUUCAGUUGCAGUGCUGUUUAGUUGGUGCAGCAUAGCUUUAAGAAAUACGUGGGCUGUUUCAACAUAAUUCAGAGAAGAGGCAGAGCAAUGAAAGAGCUUCUGGGAUAUGUGACCUAUGAGAAAAGAUGGGAAAUAAAUGACAUUUUGGAGCUACUUAAUCA